rnacentral:rRNA from 1 species
GGGUGAGUAACACGUGGAUAACCUACCUAUAAGACUGGGAUAACUUCGGGAAACCGGAGCUAAUACCGGAUAAUAUGUUGAACCGCAUGGUUCAAAAGUGAAAGACGGUCUUGCUGUCACUUAUAGAUGGAUCCGCGCUGCAUUAGCUAGUCGGUAAGGUAACGGCUUACCAAGGCAACGAUGCAUAGCCGACCUGAGAGGGUGAUCGGCCACACUGGAACUGAGACACGGUCCAG